GCUCAUCCAGUCCUGGCGCUGGACCCGGCAUAAAGGUGUCAUAUGUGCAUGAGUCUUGACCUCUGGCUGCACCCAACAGUUACCAUUACACAACAGAGUUAAAGAGAAAGCAGUUACGCUGUGACACAUGCAAAGCAGAAAAAGAGUAGAGGGUUUCAGAGUCUCCCUGGGGCAUUUUCUUCUGGAACACUGAAAUGAAAUCAAAGACAAGAAGCAAUAAUCACCAGGCUAGUUUUGUCAGUGUGAGACUGUGUUCAACAGUAAGAAUGCUACUGAUCCACUAGGUGGCAUCACAUAACAAAAAAGAUGCUGUUUGCACAAGAGAAAUGAAACUGACUUAUUACUAGGCAUAAUUAGUAUUACAAAAAAUAACACACUCUGAUUGGGAUGAGUAUCAUCAUAAGUAUAACCUAAGUAGACUGGAAGGAGCCUCUUGCUGAAACAGCAGAUAAAAACAGAUGAGACUCGAUGAGAUCAACGAAAGAAGGAAAAUUGAAUUAAAGUGAAAGAUACACUUGGUGAUACUAUUGAUUGUUUGUAAAGGCUUUAAAUGAAAGGAUGAUGGUGUGCUCGGUUAUCUCAAUGCCACACAGUCUCCUGUGAUGAAUUCUCUUCUACCAUUUUGUGAGUCGAAGGCACAGUGUGAGGAUACAUUAACGAUUUAUUAAUGCGUCCUGAACUGCAAUCAUGACCAGAUUACCUGUGUAAAUACUACACCAUAUUUUUCUUUGUCCUGGCAUGAUCUGACUUUUGUAGCUUUAGUCAAUAGUCAUACUGUUCUACCACUCAUCAACAUUCAUAUAUACAGUUUUAUCAUUUUACAUCCAUGUUCUUCCCUUUAGCAUCUGUAUAGUUCAUUUUACCCUUAGUUUACAUUUGUUUCGAAAUUCUACACUUAGCGUAUUUUUAUUAAUUGGGAUAUUGUUAUUCUAUAAUAUUCUAUUUUAUAAUUCAUGUAUGUUAUGUGACAAAUAAAAUUCGAAUUGUUAAAUGA